rnacentral:lncRNA from 1 species
GUGACGACAACCACGACUCGGUAACAAUUCAAAUAGUGAUAGUAACUAUUGAACAUAGUUGACCAGUUUGUUUGGAAGACUCCAUUUUUCGGUAAAACACCUACACGAGGCAAAUGGUUCAACUCUUUUCGCGGUAGAUUGAAACCAAUGUUAUUAUGAAUAGUUGCUUCACGAUAUAGGAACUGCGCUAAUCAAUUUUUGGCUUGGUUUCACAGGUUGUCGCAAACACCAACUGAACUUUGACGAUUCAGAACGAACAUGUCGGAGUGAAUAGGCGGACUAGAGACUUUCAACUCGGAAGAUGACCCCGUAAUGCCGCCUAUGACCCAUGAAACGAUCUACAACUAAGGAUGGGUCGAAUGUAUCGACGAGGGGAUUCACGCCAUGAUCGUCGUAGUGACAUCCCAAUGGAACAGCAGGAGAUAGCGGCCAACAUGAUCCACAAGGACAUCGAAGCAUACGCCAAUGAAUACAUCUGAUCGGAAUGAACUCUCUUUGGACUGGGAAAACAACCAAAGCCAGUUGACCCCGUCCGGAACGUCUUCGCCAAUCGAGGACAGAGGCAGUACCAUCUAUAUAACCGAGAGCACUACCAGUGUGCUUGCCAGCAGGAUACUGCCGUAGACCAAGCCGUAGCCGAUCUGGUAUUGGAGUUCGAUUCCAACUAGCUUGACUGUGAAUCUUCACCAUGGAACCAGUUAUUUUUUAUGGAUACCUUCCGAUGGCAACAUUGCGUGUUCAAAUUAGCGAUGCAACUGCAUGUAAAAAAGUGAUAAAUAGUGAGUUUAGUGAAAUAAAUUAAAACAACUAAA